rnacentral:rRNA from 1 species
ACAGAUGGGAGCUUGCUCCCUGAUGUUAGCGGCGGACGGGUGAGUAACACGUGGGUAACCUGCCUGUAAGACUGGGAUAACUCCGGGAAACCGGGGCUAAUACCGGAUGGUUGUUUGAACCGCAUGGUUCAGACAUAAAAGGUGGCUUCGGCUACCACUUACAGAUGGACCCGCGGCGCAUUAGCUAGUUGGUGAGGUAACGGCUCACCAAGGCGACGAUGCGUAGCCGACCUGAGAGGGUGAUCGGCCACACUGGGACUGAGACACGGCCCAGACUCCUACGGGAGGCAGCAGUAGGGAAUCUUCCGCAAUGGACGAAAGUCUGACGGAGCAACGCCGCGUGAGUGAUGAAGGUUUUCGGAUCGUAAAGCUCUGUUGUUAGGGAAGAACAAGUGCCGUUCAAAUAGGGCGGCACCUUGACGGUACCUAACCAGAAAGCCACGGCUAACUACGUGCCAGCAGCCGCGGUAAUACGUAGGUGGCAAGCGUUGUCCGGAAUUAUUGGGCGUAAAGGGCUCGCAGGCGGUUUCUUAAGUCUGAUGUGAAAGCCCCCGGCUCAACCGGGGAGGGUCAUUGGAAACUGGGGAACUUGAGUGCAGAAGAGGAGAGUGGAAUUCCACGUGUAGCGGUGAAAUGCGUAGAGAUGUGGAGGAACACCAGUGGCGAAGGCGACUCUCUGGUCUGUAACUGACGCUGAGGAGCGAAAGCGUGGGGAGCGAACAGGAUUAGAUACCCUGGUAGUCCACGCCGUAAACGAUGAGUGCUAAGUGUUAGGGGGUUUCCGCCCCUUAGUGCUGCAGCUAACGCAUUAAGCACUCCGCCUGGGGAGUACGGUCGCAAGACUGAAACUCAAAGGAAUUGACGGGGGCCCGCACAAGCGGGGGAGCAUGUGGGUUAAUUCGAAACAACGCGAAGAACCUUACCAGGGCUU